rnacentral:misc_RNA from 1 species
UACGGAGGGUGCAAGCGUUAUCCGGAAUUAUUGGGCGUAAAGCGUCCGCAGGCGGUUUAGUAAGUUGGAUGUAAAAGACGGCAGCUCAACUGUCGCAGUGUGUCCAAAACUGUUAAACUAGAGUCUUGGAGAGGUGCGUAGAAUUCUGCAUGUAGGGGUAAAAUCCGUAGAUAUGCAGAGGAAUACCAAAAGCGAAGGCAGCGCACUGGCCAAGAACUGACGCUCAUGGACGAAAGCAUAGGUAGCGAACGGG